UGGGGAAUAUUGCGCAAUGGGGGCAACCCUGACGCAGCAACGCCGCGUGCGGGACGAAGGCACUCGUGUCGUAAACCGCUUUCAGCAGGGAAGACAUCGACGGUACCUGCAGAAGAAGCCCCGGCUAACUACGUGCCAGCAGCCGCGGUAACACGUAGGGGGCGAGCGUUAUCCGGAUUCAUUGGGCGUAAAGCGCGCGCAGGCGGCCGCCUAAGCGGGACCUCUAAUCCUGGGGCUCAACCUCAGGCCGGGUCCCGAACUGGGCGGCUCGCGUCAGGUAGGGGGAGGCGGAAUUCCCGGUGUAGCGGUGGAAUGCGCAGAUAUCGGGAAGAACACCGACGGCGAAGGCAGCCUCCUGGGCCUCGACGGACGCUGAGGCGCGAAAGCCGGGGGAGCGAACAGG
rnacentral:rRNA from 2 species